rnacentral:lncRNA from 1 species
AGGGAUGUCAAUGCGGGUGUAUACCUGAAAUUUUAUCCGAACUCGAACCAGAAUAAAACGGAUAUAUUCGAUGAAUAUGGAUAUGGAUUCGGAUAUAGAUAUAAAAAAUAAAAAUCCGACGGAUAUGAAUUUGGAUAUGGAUUUUGAUUGUACCCAACCCGAACUCGACUCCGAACCCGACCCGAACCCGAAUUUAUUUUGUAUUUUAUAUAUAUAUAUAUAUAUAUAUAUAUAUANAUAUAUAUAUAUAUAUAUAUAUAUAUAUAUAUAAAUUUGAUGUUAUAUUUGAAUUCGUAUUUUAAAAAUUUAGAUUUAAUAUAAUAUAUUUUGAAAUAUUGAAAACAGAAAUAAUUAUUUCGGGUUCAAAUUUUCGAGUCCGGGUUUGGGUUCGGGUUUCGAAUUUUUGGCUGGGUUCGGAUUUGGAUAUGGAUUUUUAAAGUCCGUCGGGUUCGGGUCUUGGGUUUGGAGUCGGGUUCGGGUUCCGGUUUUUAAAAAUCCUCCCCGAAUCCGACCCGUUGACAUCUCUAAACACAACAAUAUAUUUCUCCGCAAGGUGCUAAUUUUUUUAGCAGACUAUCGGUUUCAUUUAUUUUUUUUAGAAGUAAACUUAUCUGAAAAUGUCAGUCAAUUAGGAUUCGAACUUAAGACCUCGUGUACCAACCACCAAGCUUUUUGCCACUUGUACUAAGGACGGCCAAUUGGGUGCUAAUUUUUUGGUUUGGAAUAAUUUUCUAUAUACUCCUCAAAACUUUUGAAAUACUUUAUUAUUUUUAUUUUAAAUAUACUCUCCGUAUAUUUUUUUCAUUAUUCAAAAGUACCCUCGCUGUUAAUAUCUGUUAAGUUAUCUCGGGUUAAAUAAAUCUAAGUUAAACUUCAACCAUAGUAAAAAAUAGUAAAAAUACCUAUUUUACCCGUAACUUGAGACAAAUAAGGAAUGUUAGUGAUGAUAGAAUAGUAUAUUUAAAAGUGCAAAAAGUCAAAAUACUUUUUUUGCCCCUAAUUUAAUGGGCAAAUAAGAAAAGCUGGUUACGACAGAAGGAUAUAUUUAAAAGGACAAAGCUAUAAUUUUAUAGAAAUAACAACUGUUCAUAAUAGUACACCAAUAAAAUUUAACUUUAAAAUUAUAUUUUAAAAAAAACUUGAAAUUUUAAAAAGGUAUUUUUAAUAUUACAUUUCUAAUAGGAAUAAAUACAAAAAUCAAAAAAUUUUGCACAGAUCGAUGCAUAAAUAAUUGUCCUUUUUGUUUGGUAACGUCCACUAUAUGUGUAUAGUACUACGCAUGGUUUUAACGAGGGAGAAUAAAAAGAGAAAAAAAACAACAAAAAAGAGAGAUAUGUAAAAAAUGGGGAAAAUUUCAAAAAUUCCCCGUGUGGUUUCGUAGUUUCUCACUUUGCCUCCCUAUAAUUUAAAAUGUAUCAAUUUGGCUCCCUGUGAUUUCUUUUUUCUCUUUUUCUUAUCAAUUUCAUUAUUUUUUUUUUUAAAUUAGUGAUAAAGUUAAAAUUAAAGAAUACUAAAGUGAAUAUUUGAUAAAUCUAGAUGGGUAUCUGAAGUUUUUUGUAUAUAAUUUAAUGAAAUAUUAACGAAAAAGUUACCGAAAAGAUAAAAACGAAACCACAAGGGGGCAAUUUGAUACAUUUUAAACCACAGGGGAUUAAAGUGAGAAACUACGAAACCACAGGGGGGGUUUUUGAAGGUUUCCCAAAAUGGGACCCCGGACACACUGUACGAUUAGACUAG